GCAUCAGUGGUGCCCAGUGUGCAGUGAUAGCUUUGGAGUAGGAGUGCUCCAGAAGACCUCCUGGGCAUCUUUCCAGACCAGUUUGCUCUGAUCAAACAACUAAUUCUGCAAGGAUAAAAUUGGGAAAACAUCGAGAAAUGAGUGAAAGCAGUGGACCAGCUGGGAUCUGUUUACACAAACUGUUAAAGGAGAAUAGACCCCAGAGCAUCUCCUCAGCAAAGCUGCUGAAGCUGUGGCAGGACCAGGGCUGCCUCCCCAGUCAUCCCUUCACUGGUCAGUAUUGAGGGCUCUGGGACCUUGAUUUGAAGGCUGAUAAUUGAAGAUCUGAGCUUUUAAGGCGCUGCAAGAUCAAGUGAAGCAAAACUUAACACUUGGUGAGCUUUAGGAAUAUGAAUGAAGUCCAGAA
rnacentral:lncRNA from 1 species